ACCCUUCAGAUACCUCAUCCAUCAGAUCAACACUGGCCUGAGUGGCUGUAAAAGGAGAAAAAGUAAAAGAGAAAUGGACCUGGAUUCUUGUGACAUACAGGAUCAUGUCAAAAGCAG
rnacentral:snoRNA from 1 species